CCUACGGGAGGCAGCAGUGAGGAAUAUUGGUCAAUGGACGCAAGUCUGAACCAGCCAUGCCGCGUGCAGGAAGACGGCUCUAUGAGUUGUAAACUGCUUUUGUACGAGGGUAAACGCAGAUACGCGUAUCUGUCUGAAAGUAUCGUACGAAUAAGGAUCGGCUAACUCCGUGCCAGCAGCCGCGGUAAUACGGAGGAUUCAAGCGUUAUCCGGAUUUAUUGGGUUUAAAGGGUGCGUAGGCGGUCGGAUAAGUUAGAGGUGAAAUCCCGAGGCUCAACUUCGGAAUUGCCUCUGAUACUGUUCGGCUGGAGAGUAGUUGCGGUAGGCGGAAUGUAUGGUGUAGCGGUGAAAUGCUUAGAGAUCAUACAGAACACCGAUUGCGAAGGCAGCUUACCAAGCUACUUCUGACGUUGAGGCACGAAAGCGUGGGGAGCAAACAGGAUUAGAUACCCUGGUAGUC
rnacentral:rRNA from 1 species